GGCGCCGACUUAGCUCAGUAGGUAGAGCAACUGACUUGUAAUCAGUAGGUCACCAGUUC
rnacentral:tRNA from 1 species